rnacentral:rRNA from 1 species
GACGUAGGGGGCAAGCGUUGUCCGGAAUCAUUGGGCGUAAAGCGCUCGUAGGUGGAUCGGUAAGUCUGCAAAGAAAGACCCGGGCUCAACUCGGGGAACGGUGUAGAUACUACCGAUCUUGAGGCAAUCAGAGGAUGAUGGAAUUCCCGGUGUAGCGGUGAAAUGCGUAGAGAUCCGGAGGAACACCAAAGGCGAAGGCAGUGUCCUGGGGAGUACCUGACGCUCAGGUGCGAAAGCCAGGGGAGCGAACGGG